GCUCCUACCGAUUGAGUGAUCCGGUGAAUUAUUCGGACUGACGCAGUGCGCAGCUUCUGGACGUUGCGUUGGAAAGUUUCAUGAACCUUAUCACUUAGAGGAAGGAGAAGUCGUAACAAGGUUUCCGUAGGUGAACCUGCAGAAGGAUCAAGACCGGAAGAGAGGCGUGUAGGGUAAGAGAGUAGAUCAGGGCGGUCGCCGCACCAUUACAAAAAAAAAAAAACACACAACAGAUCCAGAGACCGAGAAACAAACGAACGUACGACAAUCGCAGUG
rnacentral:misc_RNA from 1 species